rnacentral:rRNA from 1 species
AUACGGAGGGGGCUAGCGUUGUUCGGAUUUACUGGGCGUAAAGCGCGCGUAGGCGGUAUAUCAAGUUAGGCGUGAAAGCCCCGGGCUCAACCCGGGAACUGCGCUUAUUACUGAUAAACUAGAGUCCGGGAGAGGGUGGCGGAAUUCCCAGUGUAGAGGUGAAAUUCGUAGAUAUUGGGAAGAACACCAGUUGCGAAGGCGGUCACCUGGACCGGUACUGACGCUGAGGUGCGAAAGCGUGGGGAGCAAACAGGAUUAGAUACCCCAGUAGUCC